rnacentral:rRNA from 1 species
GACGAACGCUGGCGGCGUGCUUAACACAUGCAAGUCGAACGGAAAGGCCCUGCUUUUGUGGGGUGCUCGAGUGGCGAACGGGUGAGUAACACGUGAGUAACCUGCCCUUGACUUUGGGAUAACUUCAGGAAACUGGGGCUAAUACCGGAUAGGGGCUCCUGCUGCAUGGUGGGGGUUGGAAAGUUUCGGCGGUUGGGGAUGGACUCGCGGCUUAUCAGCUUGUUGGUGGGGUAGUGGCUUACCAAGGCUUUGACGGGUAGCCGGCCUGAGAGGGUGACCGGCCACAUUGGGACUGAGAUACGGCCCAGACUCCUACGGGAGGCAGCAGUGGGGAAUAUUGCACAAUGGGCGGAAGCCUGAUGCAGCAACGCCGCGUGCGGGAUGACGGCCUUCGGGUUGUAAACCGCUUUCGCCUGUGACGAAGCGUGAGUGACGGUAAUAGGUAAAGAAGCACCGGCUAACUACGUG